CCGAAGCAAUGCAUCUAGUCUACCUUGGAUGGUAGCCUCAGAAACAGGCUAAAACAAGUAAUUUCUCCUUUAAAAUGGUUUACUUCAGGUAUUUGUCACAGAGGGAAAAACCUGACUAACCCGGAAGAGUCUGAAGUUAGUCAUUUUUGACAUCUUUUCCAGCUGUACCAUCUCUGAACUCAGCGUUCAGUUGCACAAGUGCCUGCUAAGCUUUACAAAGAUUCUUUCUCAAAAGAUGCACAGCGCACUGGGAUCACCAAUUUAUGUGGUGCUUAUCUCAAAGAAAUAAAACAAAACAAAAAAAAGAGGUAUAACCCAGAACCAGGAAGAUGAAGCAAAGCCAAGGAGUCUGCAAACUGGUAAAUGAAAUGCAAACAAUAAUGAAGCAUAAUGGAAAGGAAAGUUGGUUUAUGAGUGAAAAGAGAAACCAAAGUUUUAGAGGUCAUCCAAGGGUUGGCUCCCUCAGGGGACUGUGGACUCUGCAACCUCCCUCCACUCUGGCUUCUGGUGGAUUGAUGAUGCUCUUACAGUUGGUGGCCUGGGCAGAACCCCACCUUCCCUUGGUCCCAGUCACCUGGAUAAAUAACAGAUGUGCGUAUCAGCAAAUCUGCUCCAUUGUCAUAUGGCAUCCAUCAUGUUUCCUGACUCCUUGCAUGCCUGGAUUAUAAAGGUCUUAUUCCUAACACUAUGCCAUACUGGUUGCCUUCCUCAUGUUCUUGUGCCCCACAGGUACCAUCUUAAUGCUAGAUCCUGCUCCACUGCCUGUCAACAUGUUCUUAGUUAUGAACUCACUUCCACAGUGUGCCUCAUUUCCUAAGGCAAUGGUCCUCAGCCCUCCUAAUGCUUCCUUCAACACAGUUCCUCAUGGUGUUGUGACCCCCAAUCAUAAAAUUAUUUUGUUGCUACUUCAUAACUGUAAUUUUGCUACAGUUAUGAAUGAUAUUGUAAACAUAUACUACGGUAUCUGAUAGACAACCCCCAAAGGGGUCAUGACCCACACAUUGAGAACCACCUUCUAAAGGAAUGCUGUCACCAGCAUCAUUGUCCCUUGUAUCCAAUGCUGUAAUCUUGAGUGUUGUCACUGAGAUGCACAGCACCUCUGUGGAGUAUGAAUUCGAAAUAAAUG